rnacentral:rRNA from 1 species
AGAGUUUGAUUCUGGCUCAGGAUGAACGCUGGCGGCGUGCCUAACACAUGCAAGUCGAGCGAUUCUCUUCGGAGAAGAGCGGCGGACGGGUGAGUAACGCGUGGGUAACCUGCCCUGUACACACGGAUAACAUACCGAAAGGUAUGCUAAUACGGGAUAACAUAAGAAAUUCGCAUGUUUUUCUUAUCAAAGCUCCGGCGGUACAGGAUGGACCCGCGUCUGAUUAGCUAGUUGGUGAGGUAACGGCUCACCAAGGCGACGAUCAGUAGCCGACCUGAGAGGGUGAUCGGCCACAUUGGAACUGAGACACGGUCCAA